AGUGAACGUUGGCGGCGUGGAUUGGGCAUGCAAGUCGAGCGAGAACCGUAGCAAUACGGGGACAGCGGCGAAAGGGACAGUAAUGUGUAGGUACCUACCCCGAGGUCUGGGAUAGCUACGGGAAACUGCAGGUAAUACUGGAUAAUGUCUUCGGACCAAAGGUGUGAUUCCACCUUGGGAGGGGCCUGCAUCCUAUUAGCUAGUUGGCGGGGUAAUGGCCCACCAAGGCAACGAUGGGUAGCGGGUGUGAGAGCACGACCCGCGUCAUUGGGACUGAGACACUGCCCAGACACCUACGGGUGGCUGCAGUCGAGGAUCUUCGGCAAUGGGCGCAAGCCUGACCGAGCGACGCCGCGUGCGGGAUGAAGGCCUUCGGGUUGUAAACCGCUGUCGUAGAGGAGGAAAUGCAGGGGGGUUCUCCCUUCUGUUUGACCUAUUCUAGGAGGAAGGACGGGCUAAGUUCGUGCCAGCAGCCGCCGUAA
rnacentral:rRNA from 1 species